rnacentral:lncRNA from 1 species
UUCGAUUAUAAUAAACUAUGUCAAAAUAAAAAACAUAUAUGUGAAACUUAGCCCUAAUAGCUGUCCCAAAAAAAUACAUGCUGCUUUUUGUAUUCUUUGUUAUGAAAGUCUCGUAGGUAAAAUUCUUAUCCCUAAUUCUCCAAUUUUAAUAUUUUCAUUGAUUUGUCUUCAUAAGAGAAAUAAUUUGUCUCAAUGAAAUUCACCCUUGUACGAAUAAGAUGAAAUGAAAAAGUCACAAAGAUAUAAUUUGAUAGAUAGGUUGAUUAGCAACAAGAUAGAUUUAGAUGACUAUAACAAAAUAUUUCAAUUCUCUCAAGGAUUUCAGGGCACAACUUCAAUAGGUACACUUUUAAUUAUGUUGUUAAACAUAUGUUUAUUUUG